UACGGGGGGGGCAAGCGUUGUUCGGAAUUACUGGGCGUAAAGGGCUCGUAGGCGGCCAACUAAGUCAGACGUGAAAUCCCUCGGCUUAACCGGGGAACUGCAUCUGAUACUGGAUGGCUUGAGUUCGGGAGAGGGAUGCAGAAUUCCAGGUGUAGCGGUGAAAUGCGUAGAUAUCUGGAGGAAUACCGGUGGCGAAGGCGGCAUCCUGGACCGGCAUUGACGCUGAUGAGCGAAAGCUAGGGGAGCAAACGGG
rnacentral:rRNA from 1 species